GGUUAAGCGACUAAGCGUACACGGUGGAUGCCCUGGCAGUCAGAGGCGAUGAAGGACGUGCUAAUCUGCGAAAAGCGUCGGUAAGGUGAUAUGAACCGUUACAGCCGGCGAUGUCCGAAUGGGGAAACCCAGUGCAAUUCGUUGCACUAUCGUUAACUGAAUACAUAGGUUAACGAGGCGAACCGGGGGAACUGAAACAUCUAAGUACCCCGAGGAAAAGAAAUCAACCGAGAUUCCCCCAGUAGCGGCGAGCGAACGGGGAGCAGCCCAGAGUCUGAAUCAGCUUGUGUGUUAGUGGAACGGUCUGGAAAGUCCGACGGUACAGGGUGAUAGUCCCGUACACCAAAAUGCACAGGCUGUGAACUCGAAGAGUAGGGCGGGACACGUGGUAUCCUGUCUGAAUAUGGGGGGACCAUCCUCCAAGGCUAAAUACUCCUGACUGACCGAUAGUGAACCAGUACCGUGAGGGAAAGGCGAAAAGAACCCCGGCGAGGGGAGUGAAAAAGAACCUGAAACCGUGUACGUACAAGCAGUGGGAGCACCUUCGGGUGUGACUGCGUACCUUUUGUAUAAUGGGUCAGCGACUUAUAUUCUGUAGCAAGGUUAACCGUAUAGGGGAGCCGCAGGGAAACCGAGUCUUAACUGGGCGUUAAGUUGCAGGGUAUAGACCCGAAACCCGGUGAUCUAGCCAUGGGCAGGUUGAAGGUUGGGUAACACUAACUGGAGGACCGAACCGACUAAUGUUGAAAAAUUAGCGGAUGACUUGUGGCUGGGGGUGAAAGGCCAAUCAAACCGGGAGAUAGCUGGUUCUCCCCGAAAGCUAUUUAGGUAGCGCCUCGUGAACUCAUCUUCGGGGGUAGAGCACUGUUUCGGCUAGGGGGUCAUCCCGACUUACCAACCCGAUGCAAACUACGAAUACCGAAGAAUGUUAUCACGGGAGACACACGGCGGGUGCUAACGUCCGUCGUGAAGAGGGAAACAACCCAGACCGCCAGCUAAGGUCCCAAAGUCAUGGUUAAGUGGGAAACGAUGUGGGAAGGCACAGACAGCCAGGAUGUUGGCUUAGAAGCAGCCAUCAUUUAAAGAAAGCGUAAUAGCUCACUGGUCGAGUCGGCCUGCGCGGAAGAUGUAACGGGGCUAAACCAUGCACCGAAGCUGCGGCAGCGACACUAUGUGUUGUUGGGUAGGGGAGCGUUCUGUAAGCCUGCGAAGGUGUGCUGUGAGGCAUGCUGGAGGUAUCAGAAGUGCGAAUGCUGACAUAAGUAACGAUAAAGCGGGUGAAAAGCCCGCUCGCCGGAAGACCAAGGGUUCCUGUCCAACGUUAAUCGGGGCAGGGUGAGUCGACCCCUAAGGCGAGGCCGAAAGGCGUAGUCGAUGGGAAACAGGUUAAUAUUCCUGUACUUGGUGUUACUGCGAAGGGGGGACGGAGAAGGCUAUGUUAGCCGGGCGACGGUUGUCCCGGUUUAAGCAUGUAGGCUGAUUGUCCAGGCAAAUCCGGAUAAUCAAGGCUGAGGUGUGAUGACGAGGCACUACGGUGCUGAAGUAACAAAUGCCCUGCUUCCAGGAAAAGCCUCUAAGCAUCAGGUAACAUCAAAUCGUACCCCAAACCGACACAGGUGGUCAGGUAGAGAAUACCAAGGCGCUUGAGAGAACUCGGGUGAAGGAACUAGGCAAAAUGGUGCCGUAACUUCGGGAGAAGGCACGCUGGUGUGUAGGUGAAGUCCCUGCGGAUGGAGCUGAGACCAGUCGAAGAUACCAGCUGGCUGCAACUGUUUAUUAAAAACACAGCACUGUGCAAACACGAAAGUGGACGUAUACGGUGUGACGCCUGCCCGGUGCCGGAAGGUUAAUUGAUGGGGUUAUCCGUAAGGAGAAGCUCUUGAUCGAAGCCCCGGUAAACGGCGGCCGUAACUAUAACGGUCCUAAGGUAGCGAAAUUCCUUGUCGGGUAAGUUCCGACCUGCACGAAUGGCGUAAUGAUGGCCAGGCUGUCUCCACCCGAGACUCAGUGAAAUUGAACUCGCUGUGAAGAUGCAGUGUACCCGCGGCAAGACGGAAAGACCCCGUGAACCUUUACUAUAGCUUGACACUGAACAUUGAGCCUUGAUGUGUAGGAUAGGUGGGAGGCUUUGAAGCGUGGACGCCAGUCUGCGUGGAGCCAACCUUGAAAUACCACCCUUUAAUGUUUGAUGUUCUAACGUUGGCCCCUGACCGGGGUUGCGGACAGUGUCUGGUGGGUAGUUUGACUGGGGCGGUCUCCUCCCAAAGCGUAACGGAGGAGCACGAAGGUUAGCUAAUCCUGGUCGGACAUCAGGAGGUUAGUGCAAUGGCAUAAGCUAGCUUGACUGCGAGCGUGACGGCGCGAGCAGGUGCGAAAGCAGGUCAUAGUGAUCCGGUGGUUCUGAAUGGAAGGGCCAUCGCUCAACGGAUAAAAGGUACUCCGGGGAUAACAGGCUGAUACCGCCCAAGAGUUCAUAUCGACGGCGGUGUUUGGCACCUCGAUGUCGGCUCAUCACAUCCUGGGGCUGAAGUAGGUCCCAAGGGUAUGGCUGUUCGCCAUUUAAAGUGGUACGCGAGCUGGGUUUAGAACGUCGUGAGACAGUUCGGUCCCUAUCUGCCGUGGGCGCUGGAGAAUUGAGGGGGGCUGCUCCUAGUACGAGAGGACCGGAGUGGACGCAUCACUGGUGUUCGGGUUGUCAUGCCAAUGGCACUGCCCGGUAGCUAAAUGCGGAAGAGAUAAGUGCUGAAAGCAUCUAAGCACGAAACUUGCCCCGAGAUGAGUUCUCCCUGAGACUAUAAGUCUCCUGAAGGAACGUUAAAGACGAUGACGUUGAUAGGCCGGGUGUGUAAGCGCAGCGAUGCGUUGAGCUAACCGGUACUAAUGAACCGUGAGGCUUAACCUU
rnacentral:rRNA from 1 species